GCAGUAGCCCCAAAUAAGUAUUUAUGGGGAAGCUGGGUAUUUACACAUUUAUUUCAAUACCCAUCUUCCCCAUAAAUACUUAUUUGGGGCUACUGCCAUG